GACGAACGCUGGCGGCGUGCUUAACACAUGCGAGUCGAACGCUGAAGCUCAGCUUUUGUUGGGUGGAUGAGUGGCGAACGGGUGAGCAACACGUGAGUAACCUGCCCCCUUCUUUGGGAUAACGCCCGGAAACGGGUGCUAAUACUGGAUAUUCACUGGUCUUCGCAUGGGGGUUGGUGGAAAGGGUUUUUCUGGUGGGGGAUGGGCUCGCGGCCUAUCAGCUUGUUGGUGGGGUGAUGGCCUACCAAGGCUUUGACGGGUAGCCGGCCUGAGAGGGUGACCGGUCACAGUGGGACUGAGAUACGGCCCAGACUCCUACGGGAGGCAGCAGUGGGGAAUAUUGCACAAUGGGCGCAAGCCUGAUGCAGCGACGCCGCGUGAGGGAUGGAGGCCUUCGGGUUGUGAACCUCUUUCGCUCAUGGUCAAGCCGCAACAAUGGUUGUGGUGAGGGUAGUGGGUAAAGAAGCGCCGGCUAACUACGUG
rnacentral:rRNA from 1 species